CAAGCCCUCACUGAAGGAUGAGUUCGCGUACCAUUAGCUUGUUGGUAGGGUAAUGGCCUACCAAGGCGACGAUGGUUAGCUGGUCUGAGAGGAUGAUCAGCCACACUGGAACUGAGACACGGUCCAGACUCCUACGGGAGGCAGCAGUGAGGAAUCUUGCGCAAUGGGGGAAACCCUGACGCAGCAACGCCGCGUGAGUGAGGAAGGUCUUCGGAUCGUAAAGCUCUGUCAGUUGGAAAGAAAUGUCUGAGAGUCAAUCCCUUUCAGGCUUGACGGUACCAACAGAGGAAGCACCGGCUAACUCCGUGCCAGCAGCCGCGGUAAUACGGGGGGUGCAAGCGUUGUUCGGAAUUAUUGGGCGUAAAGAGCGUGUAGGCGGCCGGAUAUGUCAGGUGUGAAAGCCCCGGGCUUAACCCGGGAAGUGCAUUUGAAACUGUCCGGCUCGAGUAGGGGAGAGGGAAGUGGAAUUCCUGGUGUAGAGGUGAAAUUCGUAGAUAUCAGGAGGAACACCGGUGGCGAAGGCGACUUCCUGACCCUAUACUGACGCUGAGACGCGAGAGCGUGGGUAGCAAACAGGAUUAGAUACCCUGGUAGUCCACGCCGUAAACGAUGUUCACUAGGUGUUGGGGGUAUUGACCCUCUCAGUGCCGGAGCUAACGCA
rnacentral:rRNA from 1 species